UACGGAGGGAGCUAGCGUUAUUCGGAAUUACUGGGCGUAAAGCGUGCGCAGGCGGCUAUGCAAGACAGAUGUGAAAUCCCCGGGCUCAACCUGGGAACUGCAUUUGUGACUGCAUGGCUAGAGUACGGUAGAGGGGGAUGGAAUUCCGCGUGUAGCAGUGAAAUGCGUAGAUAUGCGGAGGAACACCGAUGGCGAAGGCAAUCCCCUGGACCUGUACUGACGCUCAUGCACGAAAGCGUGGGGAGCAAACAGG
rnacentral:rRNA from 1 species